rnacentral:tRNA from 1 species
CGCGCAGGUGGCCAGGUCGGCCGGCUCGCUGCCGCCGAGCUGCAACGCCACCGGAUGCUCCUCGUCGUUGAAGUCGAGGUGGCGCGGCC